AUUGAACGCUAGCGGGAUGCUUUACACAUGCAAGUCGAACGAGAGGCGGACGGGUGAGUAAUAUAUUGAAACGUGGCCAGUAUCGGGGGAUAACUACUAGAAAACGUGGCUAAUAGCGCUUACUAUUGGAGCGGCCGAUAUUGGAUGAGGUAGUUGGGGGGGUAAAGGCUAACAAAGGCAACGAUCCGUAGCUGGUUUGAGAGGACGACCUGCCACACGUGGACUGAGACACGGCCCAGACUCCUACGGGAGGCAGCAGUAGGGAAUUUGCGGCAAUGGGGUAAACCCGGAUCCAGCCAUCCCGCGUGGAUGAGAAGGCCUUCGGGUUGUAAAGUACUUUUGUUAGAGAAGCGGUAUCUACAGAGUAAGCACCGGCUAACUACGUGCCAGCAGCCGCGGUAAUAC
rnacentral:rRNA from 1 species